AUUGAACGCUGGCGGCAUGCUUUACACAUGCAAGUCGAACGGUAACAGCACUUCGGUGGCUGACGAGUGGCGAACGGGUGAGUAAUACAUCGGAACAUGCCUAGUAGUGGGGGAUAACUACUCGAAAGAGUAGCUAAUACCGCAUGAGAUCUAAGGAUGAAAGCAGGGGACCUUCGGGCCUUGCGCUACUAGAGCGGCUGAUGGCAGAUUAGGUAGUUGGUGGGAUAAAAGCUUACCAAGCCGACGAUCUGUAGCUGGUCUGAGAGGACGACCAGCCACACUGGGACUGAGACACGGCCCAGACUCCUACGGGAGGCAGCAGUGGGGAGUUUUGGACAAUGGGCGCAAGCCUGAUCCAGCAAUGCCGCGUGCAGGAUGAAGGCCUUCGGGUUGUAAACUGCUUUUGUACGGAACGAAAAGCCCUCUUCUAAUACAGGAGGGUCAUGACGGUACCGUAAGAAUAAGCACCGGCUAACUACGUG
rnacentral:rRNA from 1 species